GCACUGAUGGGGAGUCCCAUACUAGGACGAAACGGCCGUCCAGUGC
rnacentral:hammerhead_ribozyme from 1 species